rnacentral:rRNA from 1 species
CCUACGGGAGGCAGCAGUGAGGAAUAUUGGUCAAUGGGCGCUAGCCUGAACCAGCCAAGUAGCGUGAAGGAUGACUGCCCUAUGGGUUGUAAACUUCUUUUAUAUGGGAAUAAAAUGUUUCACGUGUGGGAUUUUGUAUGUACCAUAUGAAUAAGUAUCGGCUAAUUCCGUGCCAGCAGCCGCGGUAAUACGGCGGAUCCGAGCGUUAUCCGGAUUUAUUGGGUUUAAAGGGAGCGUAGAUGGGUUGUUAAGUCAGUUGUGAAAGUUUGCGGCUCAACCGUAAAAUUGCAAUUGAUACUGGCAGUCUUGAGUACAGUGGAGGUAGGCGGAAUUCGUGGUGUAGCGGUGAAAUGCUUAGAUAUCACGAAGAACCCCGAGUGCGAAGGCAGCUUACUAAACUGUGACUGACAUUGAUGCUCGAAAGUGUGGGUAUCAAACAGGAUUAGAUACCCCGGUAGUC